rnacentral:sRNA from 1 species
CGGCACCAGAUGUGGUGGCGAAGUAUCUAUGAUAGCAAACAAUAAUAAUUGUGGUGUUGGCAUUGCUUUCGACAGCCGUAUUGGCGGGGUUCGAAUGUUGGACGGUCGAGUGACUGACACGCUGGAAGGCGAGGCCGUUUCUUUUAACAGAACUCACAUAGAUAUCUACUCUGCAAGUUGGGGCCCAAAUGAUGACGGUAAAACACUGGAAGGUCCUGGAACUCUGGCAGGCAAA